rnacentral:rRNA from 1 species
UACGUAGGGUGCGAGCGUUGUCCGGAUUCACUGGGCGUAAAGGGUGCGCAGGCGGUUGGGUGUGUCAGAUGUGAAAUCCCGAGGCUUAACCUCGGAACUGCGUCUGAAACUACUCGACUAGAGUACUGGAGAGGGUAACGGAAUUCACGGUGUAGCAGUGAAAUGCGUAGAUAUCGUGAGGAACACCAGAGGCGAAGGCGGUUACCUGGACAGUUACUGACGCUCAGGCACGAAAGCAUGGGGAGCAAAAGGG